ensembl:lncRNA
CUCUGCUUUUAAUAUAUAUAUUUUUUUAAACAAAAAAAAUAAAUAACUGAUUAAAUCAAAUGUACAAUAGACAUUAUGCAAUCAUUAUGCACUUUUAACUACUUCUUCUGGUCCGCUCUGCACAGCUGUCACCGAAAAACAGAAGCACAAUGAGGGGAGAGUGGGGUCAUGGCACCGGGAGAAUAGGGUAAGGUGGGGCUGCAAGGGUAGGCUAGGACAGGGUUAGUUGGGCUGGUGAGGAGGGGGUAAGUUGGGCUGGUAGGGUAGGUAAGGAGGGGGUAAGUUGGGCUGGUGAGGUAGGUGAGGAGGGGGUAAGUUGGGCUGGUGAGGAGGGGGUAAGUUGGGCUGGUGAGGUAGGUGAGGAGGGGUUAAGUUGGGCUGGUGAGGAGGGGGUUAAGUUGGGCUGGUAGGGUAGGUGAGGAGGGGUAAGUUGGGCUGGUGAGAAGGGGGUAAGUUGGGCUGGUGAGGAGGGAAUCAGUUGGGCUGGUAGGGUAGGUGAGGAGGGGGUAAGUUGGGCUGGUGAGGGGGGUAAGUUGGGCUGGUGAGGUAGGUGAGGAGGGGGUAGUUGGGCUGGUGAGGUAGGUGAGGAGGGGGUAGUUGGGCUGGUAGGGUAGGUGAGGAGGGGUAGUUGGGCUGGUGAGGUAGGUGAGGAGGGGGUAGUUGGGCUGGUGAGGUAGGUGAGGAGGGGGUAGUUGGGCUGGUAGGGUAGGUGAGGAGGGGGUAGUUGGGCUGGUGAGGUAGGUGAGGAGGGGGUAGUUGGGCUGGUGAGGAGGGGGUAGUUGGGCUGGUAGGGUAGGUGAGGAGGGGGUAGUUGGGCUGGUGAGGUAGGUGAGGAGGGGGUAGUUGGGCUGGUGAGGUAGGUGAGGAGGGGGUAGUUGGGCUGGUGAGGAGGGG